GGGGAAUAUUGCACAAUGGGCGAAAGCCUGAUGCAGCAACGCCGCGUGAGUGAUGAAGGUCUUCGGAUUGUAAAGCUCUGUCUUUUGGGACGAUAAUGACGGUACCAAAGGAGGAAGCCACGGCUAACUACGUGCCAGCAGCCGCGGUAAUACGUAGGUGGCGAGCGUUGUCCGGAUUUACUGGGCGUAAAGGGUGCGUAGGCGGAUGUUUAAGUGAGAUGUGAAAUACCCGGGCUUAACUUGGGUGCUGCAUUUCAAACUGGAUAUCUAGAGUGCAGGAGAGGAGAAUGGAAUUCCUAGUGUAGCGGUGAAAUGCGUAGAGAUUAGGAAGAACACCAGUGGCGAAGGCGAUUCUCUGGACUGUAACUGACGCUGAGGCACGAAAGCGUGGGUAGCAAACAGGAUUAGAUACCCUGGUAGUCCACGCCGUAAACGAUGAGUACUAGGUGUAGGAGGUAUCGACCCCUUCUGUGCCGCAGUAAACACAUUAAGUACUCCGCCUGGGAAGUACGAUCGCAAGAUUAAAACUCUAAAGUGAAUUGACGGGGGUCAUA
rnacentral:rRNA from 1 species